rnacentral:rRNA from 1 species
UGAUCCAGCCAUGCCGCGUGAGUGAAGAAGGCCUUCGGGUUGUAAAGCUCUUUCGGCCGGGAAGAAAUCGCAUUGGUUAAUACCUGGUGUGGAUGACGGUACCGGAAUAAGAAGCACCGGCUAACUACGUGCCAGCAGCCGCGGUAAUACGUAGGGUGCGAGCGUUAAUCGGAAUUACUGGGCGUAAAGCGUGCGCAGGCGGUUUUGUAAGACAGGCGUGAAAUCCCCGGGCUCAACCUGGGAACUGCGCUUGUGACUGCAAGGCUAGAGUACGGCAGAGGGGGGUGGAAUUCCACGUGUAGCAGUGAAAUGCGUAGAGAUGUGGAGGAACACCAAUGGCGAAGGCAGCCCCCUGGGUCGAUACUGACGCUCAUGCACGAAAGCGUGGGUAGCAAACAGGAUUAGAUACCCUGGUAGUCCACGCCCUAAACGAUGUCAACUAGGUGUUGGGAGGGUAAAACCUUUUAGUACCGGAGCUAACGCGUGAAGUUGACCGCCUGGGGAGUACGGCCGCAAGGUUAAAACUCAAAGGAAUUGACGGGGACCCGCACAAGCGGUGGAUGAUGUGGAUUAAUUCGAUGCAACGCGAAAAACCUUACCUACCCUUGACAUGUCAGGAAGUCUUGAGAGAUUGAGAUGUGCCCGAAAGGGAACCUGAACACAGGUGCUGCAUGGCUGUCGUCAGCUCGUGUCGUGAGAUGUUGGGUUAAGUCCCGCAACGAGCGCAACCCUUGUCGUUAAUUGCCAUCAUUUAGUUGGGCACUUUAGCGAGACUGCCGGUGACAAACCGGAGGAAGGUGGGGAUGACGUCUAGUCCUCAUGGCCCUUAUGGGUAGGGCUUCACACGUCAUACAAUGGUCGGUACAAAGGGUCCCCAACCCGCGAGGGGGAGCCAAUCCCAGAAAGCCGAUCGUAGUCCGGAUUGCAGGCUGCAACUCGCCAGCCAUGAAGUUGGAAUCGCUAGUAAUCGUGGAUCAGCAUGUCACGGUGAAAAAGUCCCG